rnacentral:rRNA from 1 species
UACAGAGGUCCCAAGCGUUGUUCGGAUUCACUGGGCGUAAAGGGUGCGUAGGUGGCUACUUUAGGUUUGAUGUGAAAGCUCCGGGCUCAACCCGGAAAUGGCAUUGAAGACUAUUGAGCUAGAGGUUUGGAGGGGGGACUGGAAUGCUUGGUGUAGCAGUGAAAUGCGUAGAUAUCAAGCGGAACACCGGUGGCGAAGGCGAGUCCCUGGACAACACCUGACACUGAGGCACGAAAGCUAGGGGAGCAAACAGG